rnacentral:rRNA from 1 species
GGUGAACGCUGGCGGCGUGCCUAAUACAUGCAAGUCGAGCGAACGGACGAGAAGCUUGCUUCUCUGAUGUUAGCGGCGGACGGGUGAGUAACACGUGGAUAACCUACCUAUAAGACUGGGAUAACUUCGGGAAACCGUAGCUAAUACCGGAUAAUAUUUUGAACCGCAUGGUUCAAAAGUGAAAGACGGUCUUGCUGUCACUUAUAGAUGGAUCCGCGCUGCAUUAGCUAGUUGGUAAGGUAACGGCUUACCAAGGCAACGAUGCAUAGCCGACCUGAGAGGGUGAUCGGCCACACUGGAACUGAGACACGGUCCAGACUCCUACGGGAGGCAGCAGUAGGGAAUCUUCCGCAAUGGGCGAAAGCCUGACGGAGCAACGCCGCGUGAGUGAUGAAGGUCUUCGGAUCGUAAAACUCUGUUAUUAGGGAAGAACAUAUGUGUAAGUAACUGUGCACAUCUUGACGGUACCUAAUCAGAAAGCCACGGCCAACUACGUG